GAUCACUUACGGCUGACGCCUCUAGCCGGAAUCCCGUCCCCGACGUCCGCGUCUGCUUUUCCGAGACGGGCGACAGAACGAUUAGGCCCCUCCUCGCUCUUCCCGAGUGACUGGGGUGGUGUGUGUCCGACCUGUAUAUUUCGGCAGGUGUCUUUCGAAAGCAGGAAAAUCUGCUUGCAGACGACUUGGGUUUGUGCGAGUCGGGGUGUCGUACUCGGUAGAGCGGCCUGUUGUGGCUGCGAUGCGUUGAGACUUGUCCCUCGACUAGGAGAUUUGU
rnacentral:ncRNA from 1 species